AGCAGCCGCGGUAAUUCCAGCUCCAAUAGCGUAUAUUAAAGUUGUUGCAGUUAAAAAGCUCGUAGUUGAAUUUCGGGAUUGACACAUCGGUCGUGCCUUAAGGGGUAUGAACUGGUGUAGUCAAUUUCUCACCUUCUGGAGAACCGCGAUGUCCUUAAUUGGGUGCCGCGAGGAACCAGGACCUUUACUUUGAAAAAUUAGAGUGUUUAAAGCAGGCAUUUUUGCUUGAAUACAUUAGCAUGGAAUAAUAAAAUAGGACGGCAUGAUUCUAUUUUGUUGGUUUCUAGGAUCACCGUAAUGAUUAAUAGGGAUAGUUGGGGGCAUUAGUAUUCAAUUGUCAGAGGUGAAAUUCUUGGAUUUAUUGAAGACUAACUACUGCGAAAGCAUUUGCCAAGGAUGUUUUCAUUAAUCAAGAACGAAAGUUAGGGGAUCGAAGACGAUCAGAUACCGUCGUAGUCUUAACCAUAAACUAUGCCGACUAGGAAUCAGACGAUGUUAAUUUUUAA
rnacentral:rRNA from 1 species